rnacentral:rRNA from 1 species
UGAGGAAUAUUGGUCAAUGGGCGUAAGCCUGAACCAGCCAAGUAGCGUGAGGGAAGACUGCCCUAUGGGUUGUAAACCUCUUUUGUGCGGGGAUAAAGUGUGGGACGUGUCCCAUAUUGCAGGUACCGCACGAAUAAGGACCGGCUAAUUCCGUGCCAGCAGCCGCGGUAAUACGGAAGGUCCGGGCGUUAUCCGGAUUUAUUGGGUUUAAAGGGAGCGCAGGCCGUCCUUUAAGCGUGCUGUGAAAUGCCGCGGCUCAACCGUGGCACUGCAGCGCGAACUGGAGGACUUGAGUACGCACGAGGUAGGCGGAAUUCGUGGUGUAGCGGUGAAAUGCUUAGAUAUCACGAAGAACUCCGAUUGCGAAGGCAGCUUACCGGAGCGCAACUGACGCUGAGGCUCGAAAGCGCGGGUAUCGAACAGGAUUAGAUACCCUGGUAGUCCGCGCGGUAAACGAUGGAUGCCCGCCGUUGGGAUUUAGAUUUCAGCGGCCAAGCGAAAGCGUUAAGCAUCCCACCUGGGGAGUACGCCGGCAACGGUGAAACUCAAAGGAAUUGACGGGGGCCCGCACAAGCGGAGGAACAUGUGGUUUAAUUCGAUGAUACGCGGGGAACCUUACCCGGGCUUGAAUUGCAGGAGAACGAUCCAGAGAUGGUGAGGCCCUUCGGGGCUCCUGUGAAGGUGCUGCAUGGUUGUCGUCAGCUCGUGCCGUGAGGUGUCGGCUCAAGUGCCAUAACGAGCGCAACCCCUGUCCAUAGUUGCCAUCAGGUCGUGCUGGGCACUCUGUGGAGACUGCCGCCGUAAGGUGUGAGGAAGGUGGGGAUGACGUCAAAUCAGCACGGCCCUUACGUCCGGGGCUACACACGUGUUACAAUGGGGCAUACAGCGAGUUGGAUGUGCGCAAGUACGUCCGGAUCAAUAAAGUGCCUCUCAGUUCGGACUGGGGUCUGCAACCCGACCCCACGAAGCUGGAUUCGCUAGUAAUCGCGCAUCAGCCAUGGCGCGGUGAAUACGUUCCC